rnacentral:lncRNA from 1 species
UCAGACUUAAAUCUUCUUGGAUGUGAUUCAUGAUGCUCUCUUGCAUGCCUCGGUUAGUACUUUUUAUACGAGCAUCAUUGAAGACAUCAUGCCUAGCUAAAAGGCAUUAAAGAAAAGUUGUUGUUGGGAGACAAAACAACACUCUUACUUUCGGUUUUUGUGUGUUCACAUGGUUUAUAUGCUGUGGUAAUCGUGUUUUGUAGCUUUUAUUUCAUCAAAGUGCCAAGUAAAGACUUUGGGAUAAUGUGGAUACUUGUUUGUUUGAUUCUGUGGAAAAAACCGAAAUUUUU